CGGUAAUACGAACCGUCCAAACGUUAUUCGGAGUCACUGGGCUUAAAGGGUGCGUAGGCGACCCGGUAAGUUGGGUGUGAAAUCCCUCGGCUCAACCGAGGAAUGGCGCUCAAGACUGCCGGGCUCGAGGAAGAUAGAGGUGAGCGGAACUUAGGGUGGAGCGGUGAAAUGCGUUGAUAUCCUAAGGAACACCGGUGGCGAAAGCGGCUCACUGGGUCUUUUCUGACGCUGAGGCACGAAAGCUAGGGGAGCGAACGGGAUUAGAUACCCCGGUAGUCCUAGCUGUAAACGAUGAGCACUAGGUCGAAGGGUACUCCAUAGCCUUUUGGCCGUAGCGAAAGUGUUAAGUGCUCCGCCUGGGGAGUAUGGUCGCAAGGCUGAA
rnacentral:rRNA from 1 species